rnacentral:rRNA from 1 species
AUUGAACGCUGGCGGCAUGCUUUACACAUGCAAGUCGAACGGCAGCGCGGGGCAACCUGGCGGCGAGUGGCGAACGGGUGAGUAAAGUAUCGGAACGUGCCCAGUCGUGGGGGAUAACGUAGCGAAAGUUACGCUAAUACCGCAUACGAUCUAUGAAUGAAAGCGGGGGAUCGCAAGACCUCGCGCGAUUGGAGCGGCCGAUAUCAGAUUAGGUAGUUGGUGGGGUAAAGGCUCACCAAGCCGACGAUCUGUAGCUGGUCUGAGAGGACGACCAGCCACACUGGGACUGAGACACGGCCCAGACUCCUACGGGAGGCAGCAGUGGGGAAUUUUGGACAAUGGGCGCAAGCCUGAUCCAACCAUGCUGCGUGCAGGAUGAAGGCCUUCGGGUUGUAGACUGCUUUUGUACGGAACGAAAAGGUUUGACUUAAUACGUUGGACUCAUGACGGUACCGUAAGAAUAAGCACCGGCUAACUACGUGCCAGCCGCCGCGGUAAUAC